UAUUUGUUGCCGUGAUGCUUCGGGUCUGUGUUGUAAUGCCCAGAAAUAUAAAGUGUUGACUAGUGAAGAGAAAAGUUAUCGACUGAGUUGUUGAAUCACGUUUCUGAAUGUGAGCAGCUCAGGAGGAUCAGAACAUGUCUGUGCACGAUGGGAGUUUCCUGAGUAUCAUGAAAACAUUGAGCCGUACGCUGAAGGGAUCAAUUCUUGGACCCAUGGUGAUCUCUGAGUGAGCUGCUCUGUGGCCGCUCACCUCAUCUUUCAUCACUGUUCAUUGUUCCAUCCUUUCAUCGCAUCCGUCCCUCCGGCUGCUGUGACUCCAAAUGACAUCAUCAGCACAAGAUGGUGGCGUUCAUAUCCCGAAAUACUUGGCUUCAUUUCUGGAUAGUGGGAGGAAGUGGAGACACGUCGGCCAUGUUUAUUCCCAGUGUGUGGAUCCACUGGUGAUUCUGACACAUGUUGGUGAGGAAACUGUUCAUGUCUCUCUUUUAGAUUCAGAAGGUUCAGUGAAGGAAACUGGAGGAAGAGAAUAAAUAAAUGAGGCGUCAGGACGUUAUCUUUGUCCUGCAGCUGUUCUCAGAAACGACAAACCCAUGUAGGGAGUCUCGCUCCAUGUCCUUGUGCCACCCCCCACCAUCAUCUCACCGGUGACCCCUCCACCGGUGACCCCCCCACCGGUGAGCUCUCAAAACAGGUCAAUCUGAGGAGGGCUGAUUUAAAUGAUCCUUGUGGUAUUUUGACCAAAAUAUGUUACAGACAUUUCAUUAAGACCCCAAGGAACCAUAUCAACUGUGGUGAAAUGGGCAUAUGAUGGGUCCUUUAAAGGAGCUUGAGUCACAGCUGCAGCUCGACCAGUAGGUGGCGCCGCCUUUCAAAACUGUCCCCACCUUCCACCUUGUCCUCUGUGGGACCAAAGAUCUGGAGCAGCCCGGGGGCCCAACAGAGCAAACAGUGACAGAGCGACAAUCUGAUUUCCACGCAGCAGAGCCGAUCUGAUGCUAUUUCUGUCUGCACUCGUUCUAGGAAGCUUUUGGAAUCUGAAUAUAGAAUCUGAGUGAACUGUCAACAUGACGCUGCAAAGUCCGUCCUCCUGUUUGUUGAGCUGCUCUGGGUCAAGUCUGCUUCACACCUCCUGUCUGCUCAGAAACAACCUUCUGUCUCUAACACUGCUCUCAGACCUGCUCCCCACCGGUCUCCUGACUGCACCUGGAGGAGCUGCACGUGAGAACCUGAAUGUUUGAGGAAGCUGCUCCAGACAAGCUCCAGAC